rnacentral:lncRNA from 1 species
GCUCUUGAUAGUUAAAUCAAGCAAGAACUAGAGCACCGGACUCUGAUACCACUUGUUGCCCAGAUAUGGAGCCCAAGAGGAUGGGUGAAUUAGAUCUUUUUGAAAUUUCAAAGAUUGAACUACUUAAGCAAUGUGCCAAAGUGAAGAGUGAAGUGUAUCAACUUGCAAUAGAAAUAAAAUCAAAUACAAAUACAAAGUAAGCAAGUAAUAAGCACAAAGAACAAGAAA